rnacentral:rRNA from 1 species
UUAAAUUGAAGAGUUUGAUCAUGGCUCAGAUUGAACGCUGGCGGCAGGCCUAACACAUGCAAGUCGAACGGUAGCACAGAGG